GAAAUAAACGAAGACUUGUUAUAAUAUGUCGUUAUCAACUGUUACCGAGGCGCCACGGUGGUCACCCGUGACCACCAAUAAGAUGAACGGUCCAUUGGGGAAGAAUGUUAUCUUACAUCGUCAAUUUAUUAUUAUUUUGUCAUUAUAUGCUUUGAAUAAUAAAAAUACUCCCGUGGCGUCCUGAGCGAAACACGUGAUUUCGACGUGGCAGUCAAAGUGUUAACCGCAAGACCGUGGAAAUUUGUAUCAAGUAUCCUGUGGUCGUAGGGUAUACCUCUAACAUCAGAACAGUCAAACUCAUAGCGUCAACGACUU
rnacentral:misc_RNA from 1 species